UAUAAUUAUUGCUACUACUACUAUUGAUAUGUGUACUACUAGUAAUCUAAAUAUAAAUUAUAUUUAUUAUAAUUAAUAUUGCUGGUUUUAAAAAUGUUUUUUUCAUUAACAUUUUCAUGCUGAUUUGAUGUUUAUUACAGUAGUUGAAACUCUUAGAUGCCCAAACCCAGAGCAAGAAAUAAAUAAUGCAAUUAUGAAGAGAAUACAUCUGAAAGCAUACUAUCUGGAAGGUGCCACAAUACAGUACAAGUGUAAAGCAGGCUAUAACUUUAAAAAUGGGCCCCAAGCCACAUGUUUCAGAGGAAAAUGGGAUUACCCACAAUGCAUAAUGUUUGUUGAAAACGUUAAAUGCCCAAAGCCCGAGAGACAAAUAAAUAACGCAUUUCUGAAUAGAGCAUAUCAAAGGGCAUACUAUCUGGAAGGCAGCGCAGUACAAUACAAAAAGCAGGCUAUUACUUUGAAAAUGGGCCUGAAGCCACAUGUUCCACAGGAAAAUGGGAUUACCCACAAUGUAUACUAUUGGCUCAAAACCCUAAAUGUCCAGACCCUGAGCGACAAAUAAAUAAUGGCAUUUUAAAAAAAGGAAAUCUAAAGGCGUACUAUCAGGAAGGCAGCACAGUACUAUACAAGUGUAAAGAAGGAUUUUACUUUGAAAAUGGCCCCGAAGCCACAUGCUCUGCAGGAAAAUGGAUUUACCCACGAUGUCUUCAAUAAUCCAUCGGAAAUUGAAACAUUACUCAAGGAACAAUCAUUGCUGAAGUCAAAGAAAUGUACAUAAAUAAUGGUCAAUCGAAAAUAUUUCAUAAACAGAUCAAAAAUAUAUUUGUAGCUGAAGUGCUUUAAUGGAAUUGAUUGAUUGAUUAAUUGAUUGAUUGAUUGAUUGAAAAUUGAUUUGAAUUUGUUUUUAGAAAAAAUAUUUAAAUUAUUAUUAUAUAUUAUGAUCAUUAUAGUCUCAAUCAUACUGUAUUUGUCUAAUAUGACACUUUUCAUGCUUUUUUAAGGAUAUGUAGAUUCCAAAAUAAGACAUAUAAUGUUCUACUUUAACAGGUUUUGUCAUUUCAUAAGUAUUAUAGUAAGUCAAUAAAAACAUAAUAAUAAAAAAAAAUAUUUUUUAGCUGUAUAUCAUUCUUUUCAUGGAAAAUAUUACAGGCCAUCUUACACAGAAGGUGCCAUAUUCAGUGGUACAUGAAGUGUAUUUAGUAAUAAGUUUUUACCAACAUUGUGCAUAUUGCUAUUCAGACCUAAGAUGAUUCUGACUAUUUUUUGUGCGAUAAUAAUUAAAGGUCAAUAUAAAUAUCACCAGCAAUUUCUAACAGUCUCACCUGUAAUCACAAUAUGUCAUCAUUUAUUCAUGUAAGAACAUCAAAAAAAUCUGGAACUUCAGUCUGAGGCCAUAUUAUUUUUAUAAAUCUGACACAAUUAAUUAUAACAGUAUCACAUCCGGGAAAUGGACACCAAGUGAUCACUAAAUCAUCAAGUAUCUAAAUCAAAGAUAAUGUUUGUCAUCAGGACAGAACAUUAUUUUUUAUUUAUAUAUUUAUAUUUUUUUAUUAUGUCAUAAACUAAGCUGGAGUAAUAUUUUGCUAAGUAUAACAUAGUGCUUGCUUAGUUCAAACUACAAAUCACGGAAAAUCAGCAGAUCCUAUGAAGAAUUAAAUGCAUGAUACAUAUAAUAGGCUAUAUUAGAGGAGAAA